rnacentral:rRNA from 1 species
UAGGGAAUAUUGGACAAUGGGGGCAACCCUGAUCCAGCCAUGCCGCGUGAGUGAAGAAGGCCCUCGGGUUGUAAAGCUCUUUUGUCCGGAAAGAAAAGCUUCGGGUUAAUACCCCGGGGUUCUGACGGUACCGGAAGAAUAAGCACCGGCUAACUUCGUGCCAGCAGCCGCGGUAAUACGAAGGGUGCAAGCGUUACUCGGAAUUACUGGGCGUAAAGCGUGCGUAGGUGGUUGUUUAAGUCUGAUGUGAAAGCCCUGGGCUCAACCUGGGAAUGGCAUUGGAAACUGGGCAGCUAGAGUGCGGUAGAGGGUAGUGGAAUUCCCGGUGUAGCAGUGAAAUGCGUAGAGAUCGGGAGGAACAUCUGUGGCGAAGGCGACUGCCUGGACCAGCACCGACACUGAGGCACGAAAGCGUGGGGAGCAAACA